UACGUAGGAUGCAAGCGUUGUCCGGAUUUAUUGGGUUAAAAGGGUGCGUAGGCGGCAUAUUAAGUUAGUGGUGAAAACGUUCGGCUUAACCGGUUACCCGCCAUUGAUACUGAUAGACUUGAGUGCGACAGAGGGUGUUGGAAUGUGUGGUGUAGCGGUGAAAUGCUUAGAUAUCACGCAGAACACCAAUUGCGAAGGCAGAUGCCUAUGUCGUAACUGACGCUGAGGCACGAAAGCGUGGGGAGCAAACAGG
rnacentral:rRNA from 1 species